CACUGAAUAGCCAACAUGGCACGGCACCAGCCUUUUAAGCUGUUUUACGGUGCUCACCAAACACCUUCAGUGA
rnacentral:tRNA from 1 species